GAAGGAGGAAGCCCUCGCUAUCCUUCCACUGCUAGCCUCGGAGGCCGAAUUGAGAACCCGUUGCCCGCAUCAGGAGCUCGUUGCCGACUCCGCCGCCCACCCCAAAACCGUCCAUCGCCGGCCAGAUCUCUCAAUCCAUCGUCCCGGCCGGCGAGGCGAUUGGGGAAUAAGAGGAACCGCCGGAGCAUCCACUGCAAUAAAAUAAGAUGGGCAACUAUCUGACAAGCACAAUAUCGGCACAGGAGCAUGAUCAGCAUGCCCAUGUUAGACCAGCGAGGAGACUGACAAACGAAAAGGGAAGGCCGAUUGUUAGGCUCGAAGACCUUCCAGAGGAUGUGCUGCAUACGGUUCUAUCGAAAUUACCUGCAAGAGAGGUCGUGCGGUCCAGCGUCUUGUCGAGAAAGUGGAGAUCCGUGUGGACAACCUGCAUCAAGCUGAGCUUCAAUGACGCCGAUGUGUGCAGUGGGCGUGGCGGUGCGAAAUCGGAACAAGGCACCCAGGUUUUCAUCGACCGUGUCGACGCGGUUCUGCGGAGGCACCGAGGCAGGGCUGUUGACCAGUUUGAGAUCAAGUUUAUAUUCGAGAGCAAGCUCGCUGACCAUCUCGAUAACUGGACCAGGUUUGCGAUGACAGCCCAC